ACUACGGGAGGCAGCAGUGGGGGAUAUUGCACAAUGGGGGGAACCCUGAUGCAGCGACGCCGCGUGGGUGAAGAAGCGCCUCGGCGCGUAAAGCCCUGUCAGCAGGGAAGAAAAUGACGGUACCUGAAGAAGAAGCCCCGGCUAACUAUGUGCAAGCAGCCGCGGUAAUACGUCGGGGGCAAGCGUUAUCCGGAUUUACUGGGGGGAAAGGGGGCGCAGACUGCGAUGCAAGCCAGGAGUGAAAGCCCGGGGCCCAACCCCGAGACUGCUCUUGAUACUGCUGGGCUGGAGUGCAGGAGGGGCAGGCGGAAUUCCUGGUGUAGCGGUGAAAUGCGUAGAUAUCAGGAGGAACACCGGUGGCGAAGGCGGCCUGCUGGACUGCAACUGACGUUGAGGCCCGAAAGCGUGGGGAGCAAACAGGAUUAGAUACCCGGGUAGUC
rnacentral:rRNA from 1 species